UGGGGAAUAUUGGACAAUGGGCGAAAGCCUGAUCCAGCCAUGCCGCGUGAGUGAUGAAGGUCUUCGGAUCGUAAAGCUCUGUGGGAAGGGACGAAAAAAGCCGACCUAAUACGUCGGAGCUUGACGGUACCUUCUUAGCAAGCACCGGCUAACUCCGUGCCAGCAGCCGCGGUAAUACGGAGGGUGCAAACGUUGCUCGGAAUUAUUGGGCGUAAAGCGCACGUAGGCGGCUCGUUAAGUCGGAUGUGAAAGCCCUCGGCUCAACCGAGGAAGUGCAUCCGAAACUAGCGAGCUUGAGUAUGGAAGAGGGUCUCGGAAUUCCCGGUGUAGAGGUGAAAUUCGUAGAUAUCGGGAGGAACACCAGUGGCGAAGGCGGAGACCUGGGCCAAUACUGACGCUGAGGUGCGAAAGCGUGGGGAGCAAACA
rnacentral:rRNA from 1 species